rnacentral:rRNA from 1 species
UACGGGGGGAGCAAGCGUUGUUCGGAUUUACUGGGCGUAAAGGGCGCGUAGGCGGCCACCGCAAGUCGACUGUGAAAUCUCCGGGCUUAACCCGGAAAGGUCAGCCGAUACUGCGGGGCUAGAGUGCAGAAGGGGCAACUGGAAUUCUCGGUGUAGCGGUGAAAUGCGUAGAUAUCGAGAGGAACACCUGAGGCGAAGGCGGGUUGCUAGGCUGACACUGACGCUGAGUGCGCGAAAGCCAGGGGAGCAAACGGG